CCUUCUUUUUCGCGCUUUCCUCGGAAUUACUGGGCGUAAAGUGUGCGCAGGCGGCAGAGCAAGUCGAGUGUGAAAGCCCCGGGCUUAACUUGGGAAUUGCGCUCGAAACUACUUUGCUGGAGUGUGGCAGAGGAAGGUGGAAUUCCACGUGUAGCGGUGAAAUGCGUAGAGAUGUGGAGGAACACCGAUGGCGAAGGCAGCCCCCUGGGCCAAUACUGACGCUCAUGCACGGAAGCGUGGGGAGCAAACAGGA
rnacentral:rRNA from 1 species